UACGUAGGGUGCGAGCGUUGUCCGGAAUUAUUGGGCGUAAAGAGCUUGUAGGCGGUUUGUCGCGUCUGCUGUGAAAAUCCGGGGCUCAACCCCGGACUUGCAGUGGGUACGGGCAGACUAGAGUGUGGUAGGGGAGACUGGAAUUCCUGGUGUAGCGGUGAAAUGCGCAGAUAUCAGGAGGAACACCGGUGGCGAAGGCGGGUCUCUGGGGCCGAUACUGACG
rnacentral:rRNA from 1 species